GGGUCGUUAGCUCAGUUGGUAGAGCAGUUGGCUUUUAACCAAUUGGUCGAAGGUUCGAAUCCUUCACGGCCCACCA
rnacentral:tRNA from 3 species